AGUGAACGCUGGCGGUAGGCCUAACACAUGCAAGUCGAACGGCAGCACAGGAGAGCUUGCUCUCUGGGUGGCGAGUGGCGGACGGGUGAGGAAUACAUCGGAAUCUACUCUGUCGUGGGGGAUAACGUAGGGAAACUUACGCUAAUACCGCAUACGACCUACGGGUGAAAGCAGGGGAACUUCGGGCCUUGCGCGAUUGAAUGAGCCGAUGUCGGAUUAGCAAGUUGGCGGGGUAAAGGCCCACCAAGGCGACGAUCCGUAGCUGGUCUGAGAGGAUGAUCAGCCACACUGGAACUGAGACACGGUCCAGACUCCUACGGGAGGCAGCAGUGGGGAAUAUUGGACAAUGGGCGCAAGCCUGAUCCAGCCAUACCGCGUGGGUGAAGAAGGCCUUCGGGUUGUAAAGCCCUUUUGUUGGGAAAGAAAUCCAGCUGGCUAAUACCCGGUUGGGAUGACGGUACCCAAAGAAUAAGCACCGGCUAACUUCGUGCCAGCAGCCGCGGUAA
rnacentral:rRNA from 1 species